AGCGCAUACGGUGGAUGCCUUGGCAGUCAGAGGCGAUGAAAGACGUGGUAGCCUGCGAAAAGCUUCGGGGAGUCGGCAAACAGACUGUGAUCCGGAGAUGUCUGAAUGGGGGAACCCAGCCAUCAUAAGAUGGUUACCUUACACUGAAUACAUAGGUGUAUGGAGCGAACCAGGGGAACUGAAACAUCUAAGUACCCUGAGGAAAAGAAAUCAACCGAGAU
rnacentral:rRNA from 1 species